UACAGAGGGUGCAAGCGUUAAUCGGAAUUACUGGGCGUAAAGCGAGCGUAGUCGGUUAUUUAAGUCGGAUGUGAAAUCCCCGGGCUCAACCUGGGAAUUGCGAUGGAGACUGCAAGGCUAGAAUCUGGCAGAGGGGGGUAGAAUUCCACGUGUAGCAGUGAAAUGCGUAGAGAUGUGGAGGAACACCGAUGGCGAAGGCAGCCCCCUGGGUCAAGAUUGACGCUCAUGCACGAAAGCGUGGGGAGCAAACAGG
rnacentral:rRNA from 1 species